UUUAAAUUGAGAGUUUGAUCCUGGCUCAGGACGAACGCUGGCGGCGUGCCUAACACAUGCAAGUCGAGCGAUGAAACUUCCUUCGGGAAGUGGAUUAGCGGCGGACGGGUGAGUAACACGUGGGUAACCUGCCUCAAAGAGGGGGAUAGCCUCCCGAAAGGGAGAUUAAUACCGCAUAACAUUAUUUUAUGGCAUCAUAGAAUAAUCAAAGGAGUAAUCCGCUUUGAGAUGGACCCGCGGCGCAUUAGCUAGUUGGUGAGGUAAGGGC
rnacentral:rRNA from 1 species